rnacentral:lncRNA from 1 species
GAUCAAUAUAGUUGGGGUGCAGAUACAGGCCUUCCCCUAGGGAAACACUUGCAUCAGUAUUAGUGAGAGACCAAGUACACAUCUGAAGCAUUCCUGUGCUUUCUGUCCACUUGUCAGGUGAUGUUGCCACGUAUGACUGUCCAUCAGCCAGGAGAUGAACCCCCACCCGUGAGGCAGUGACUCAAGGUGCAAGGGAGUCCGGCAAGAAGUGUGGCGCACCCGAGUUGCUGCCACUGCUUUUUGGAUCACCCAGCACGGUGAUGUUGCCACGUAUGACUGUCCAUCAGCCAGGAGAUGAACCCCCACCCGUGAGGCAGUGACUCAAGGUGCAAGGGAGUCCGGCAAGAAGUGUGGCGCACCCGAGUUGCUGCCACUGCUUUUUUGGAUCACCCAGCACGGUACGGCUUCUCC